GCCUGGGUGGCUCAGGGUUAAGCAUCCGACUUCGACUCGGCUCAUGAUCUCACCGUCCAUGGGUUCAAGCCCCAUGUCGGGUU
rnacentral:tRNA from 1 species